rnacentral:rRNA from 1 species
AGAUUGAACGCUGGCGGCAUGCCUUACACAUGCAAGUCGAACGGUAACAGCACUUCGGUGGCUGACGAGUGGCGAACGGGUGAGUAACACAUCGGAACGUGCCCGAUCGUGGGGGAUAACUACUCGAAAGAGUGGCUAAUACCGCGUACGAUCUACGGAUGAAAGCGGGGGAUCGCAAGACCUCGCGCGGACGGAGCGGCCGAUGGCGGAUUAGGUAGUUGGUGGGAUAAAAGCUUACCAAGCCGACGAUCUGUAGCUGGUCUGAGAGGACGACCAGCCACACUGGGACUGAGGCACGGCCCAGACUCCUACGGGAGCAGCAGUGGGAAUUUGGACAAGUGGGCGAAAGCCUAGAUCCAGCGAAUGCCGCGUGCAGGAUAGGAAGGCCGUUCGGUUAGUAAACGUGUCCGUUUUAGUAACGGUAACGAAAAAGUUCGUUACUUACCUAAAGUAC